rnacentral:rRNA from 3 species
UCUUGUGCAAUGCACGAAAGUAUGACACAGAGAGGACACAUUUAAUUGAGCCCGUCAAAUUAAGUGCCAGCCGACGCGGUUAGACUUAAGGGCUGGUCUUUAUAAGUAAAAAGGCGUAAAGGAUGUGUAGGCCAAGAAAUUGUCCAAGAAGGUAAAUGGAAUUUUUCUGGAGCGGUAGAAUGUGAGGAUAGAAAAUAGAACACCUAAGGUUAAAACUAUUUACCACAAAAUAGGCUGAAACAUGAAAGUGUGGGGAGCAAACAGGAUUAGAGACCCUGGUAGUCCACACUGUGAACUUUGAAGAUGAUGCUUAGCAGACCCGAAAGGUAAAAUCUUCCGCCUGAGUAGUACGAUCGCAAGAUUAAAAUUCAAAAACUUUGGCUGUUCACUAUUUCGAUUAGAGGAGCGUGUAGUUUAAUUCGAUGGUCCGCGUGUUACCUUACCCCAGCUUGAAUCUAUGACCGGUAUUGCAUGGCCGUCGUAAGUCCGUGUGUUAAGCUAGAAGGGACCCAAUCCGGGCGUUUGCCCGAAGGAAGUCAGGUCUUAUGAUCCGAAUGUUGGGGGAUUUUAUGCGCUACAUUUUCUUAUAUAAUGAGAGACUUGAAAGGUAAGCCUCUAAAGUAAGAGUUCGGAAGGUCGCUGUAAAACGACUGGAAGUUGGAUUUAAUAGUAAUCGGAAAGUAGGGCGUUCCGGUGAAUUGGUACAAGUGUUAGCACAAAUUGCCCGUCACCUUUACCUAGGAUGGUUAUUCGGACGCCUUCGGUGGUUACGAAU